rnacentral:rRNA from 1 species
ACUCCUACGGGAGGCAGCAGUGGGGAAUAUUGCACAAUGGGGGAAACCCUGAUGCAGCCAUGCCGCGUGUGUGAAGAAGGCCUUCGGGUUGUAAAGCACUUUCAGUAGGGAGGAAGGUAGUGUAGUUAACACCUGCACUAUUUGACGUUACCUACAGAAGAAGCACCGGCUAACUCCGUGCCAGCAGCCGCGGUAAUACGGAGGGUGCGAGCGUUAAUCGGAAUUACUGGGCGUAAAGCGCAUGCAGGCGGCCUGUUAAGUCAGAUGUGAAAGCCCGGGGCUUAACCUCGGAAUUGCAUUUGAAACUGGCAGGCUAGAGUCUUGUAGAGGGGGGUAGAAUUUCAGGUGUAGCGGUGAAAUGCGUAGAGAUCUGAAGGAAUACCAGUGGCGAAGGCGGCCCCCUGGGACAAAGACUGACGCUCAGAUGCGAAAGCGUGGGGAGCAAACAGGAUUAGACACCCU